AGGGUUCGAUUAUGGCUCAGGAUGAACGCUAGCGGCACGCUUCAUACAUGCAAGUCGAGGGGCAGCAUAAAUUACUUGUAAUUUGAUGGCGACCGGCGAACGGGUGCGUAACGCGUAUGCAACUUACCUUUUACUAGAGAAUAGCCAAGAGAAAUUUUGAUUAAUGCUCUAUACUCUUAUUAACUCACAUGAGUUUUUAAGAAAAGCUCCGGCGGUAAAAGAUGGGCAUGCGUCCUAUUAGCUUGUAGGUGAGGUAACGGCUCACCUAAGCUCCGAUAGGUAGGGGUCCUGAGAGGGAGAUCCCCCACACUGGUACUGAGACACGGACCAGACUUCUACGGAAGGCAGCAGUAAGGAAUAUUGGACAAUGGAGGAAACUCUGAUCCAGCGAUGCCGCGUGAAGGAAGACGGCCCUAUGGGUUGUAAACUUCUUUUAUACAGGAAUAAACCUAUCCACGUGUGGAUAGCUGAAGGUACUGUAAGAAUAAGGAUCGGCUAACUCCGUGCCAGCAGCCGCGGUAAUAC
rnacentral:rRNA from 1 species